rnacentral:rRNA from 1 species
UACGUAGGGGGCAAGCGUUGUCCGGAAUUAUUGGGCGUAAAGAGCGUGUAGGCGGUCCGGUAAGUCAGCUGUGAAAGUCAAGGGCUCAACCCUUGAAAGCCGGUUGAUACUGUCGGGCUAGAGUCCGGAAGAGGCGAGUGGAAUUCCCGGUGUAGCGGUGAAAUGCGCAGAUAUCAGGAGGAACACCAACGGCGAAGGCAGCUCGCUGGGACGGUACUGACGCUGAGGCGCGAAAGCGUGGGGAGCGAACAGG